rfam:Felis catus isolate Cinnamon breed Abyssinian chromosome B2, whole genome shotgun sequence.
GCCUGGGUGGCUCAGUUGGUUAAGCGUCCAACUUCAGCUCAGGUAAUGAUCUCACAGUUUGUGGGUUCAAACCCCACAUCGGGCU